rnacentral:rRNA from 1 species
UACGUAGGGUCCAAGCGUUGUCCGGAAUUAUUGGGCGUAAAGAGCUCGUAGGCGGCUUGUCACGUCGGGUGUGAAAGCCCGGGGCUUAACCCCGGGUCUGCAUCCGAUACGGGCAGGCUAGAGUGUGGUAGGGGAGAUCGGAAUUCCUGGUGUAGCGGUGAAAUGCGCAGAUAUCAGGAGGAACACCGGUGGCGAAGGCGGAUCUCUGGGCCAUUACUGACGCUGAGGAGCGAAAGCGUGGGGAGCGAACAGG